UACGGAGGAGGCAAGCGUUAUCCGGAAUUAUUGGGCGUAAAGAGCUCGUAGGCGGUUCAGUAAGUCGGGUGUGAAAACUCUGGGCUCAACCCAGAGACGCCACCCGAUACUGCUGUGACUUGAGUACGGUAGGGGAGUGGGGAAUUCCUGGUGUAGCGGUGAAAUGCGCAGAUAUCAGGAGGAACACCAGUGGCGAAGGCGCCACUCUGGGCCGUAACUGACGCUGAGGAGCGAAAGCGUGGGUAGCAAACAGG
rnacentral:rRNA from 1 species